GGAAGCGUGGCAGAGUGGUCGAUUGCACCGGUUUUGAAAACCGGCGACGGGCAACCCGUCCGUGAGUUCGAAUCUCACCGCUUCCGCCA
rnacentral:tRNA from 1 species